UUCAGGUAUCACCUAUUUAUUAUCUCACUGUUUUUGCAGGUCGGGAGUGUGGGAAUGGCAUCACUGGGAGGCUCUGACUCACAGCCUCUCAACACAUCGGCUGGGGCUACGUCACCUGAAGGCUUCACUGGGGCUGGAGGGCCUGCUUCCAAGAUGGUUCAUUCACAUGGUUCUUGACAUCUGUUCUUUGCUGGCUGUUGGCAGGAGGCUGCGAUUCUUUACCACGUAGGUCUCUCCAUUGGACCCCUUGAGUAUCCUUAUGCCACAGAAGCUAGCUUUCUGCAGAGGGAGUGAUCCAAGACAGGACUUGCCAUGUGCUUUAUGACCUCAGCAGUCACAGACUGCCAUUUCCUCAACAUCCUAUUGGUUACACAGGUCAGCCCUCAUCUGUCUGGGAGGGGGACAACACAUGGGCAAGAAUUCCAGGAGACCAUCUUGCAGAUGCGCUGGGACCAUCAAGGCCCUCAAGAUCUCAAGACCCUCCUCCUCAGCCUCAUGGACACCAUGGCCCGGAUGCAUGCAGCUUCAAGGCCCCAGGAGCUGACUGGAGCUCUGGAGUGGGGAGAGUUCUGACCGAGGGUUCCAUGAGCCCCUGAGAAAAGAGAGGGAGAAGCUGCAACAGCGUGGGUUUUGCCAGCUUUUGACAGAAGCAGAGUAAAACAUGGUCCAUCCAUCCAGAUAGACCUCCAUGUUCUAUUUCUCUAACAUCCCAGGGCCUCAAUCUGC
rnacentral:lncRNA from 1 species